AGAUGCCUCCUUGCUCCAGGCUGACAAGCCAGGGCUUGUGCUUAUUUCACUGUCUAACCCUGCCCAGGCCCCGGGGAGAAGCCUGAUAUUCUUAGUGUUUAUUUAAUUGUCAGCUCUCUCUGUUGUACGACAAUACCCUGGCCUUGACUCAGUACACCUAGGACUGUAAGUCCCAUCGUGUCUAUGGACUUCAGUUUCCAGACAUGAAACACAAGAGGCUUGGACGAGAUUAGAAAUGAAGAACUCGUAUGCACAUGGUCAGAGCCAUGAGAGUUUUCCAUCAAGGAACACAACCAUGUGGACAACUUGAUUAUGCCCUACAAAACUGGAUUCCUGUGAGUAUUCCUCUUCAAGAUGGAAGAAAAAGGGAACAUUUCACAGCUCCUAUGGUGCAAUGUCUGCCUAUAGCCAACAAUACAAUCUUCUUGCUCUGUCACCCAGGCUGAAAUGCAGUGGGGCCAUCUCGUCUCACUCGGCUCACUGCAACCUCCGCCU
rnacentral:lncRNA from 1 species